UACGAACCGUGCGAACGUUGUUCGGAAUCACUGGGCUUAAAGGGCGCGUAGGCGGGUCAUCAAGUCAGGGGUGAAAUCUUUCGGCUCAACCGGAAAACAGCCUCUGAUACUGGUGGUCUGGAGGGAGGUAGGGGCAGAUGGAACUUCCGGUGGAGCGGUGAAAUGUGUUGAUAUCGGAAGGAACGCCGGUGGCGAAAGCGAUCUGCUGGACCUCUUCUGACGCUGAGGCGCGAAAGCUAGGGUAGCGAACGGG
rnacentral:rRNA from 1 species